rnacentral:rRNA from 1 species
GAAUAUUGGACAAAGGGAGGAACCCUGAUCCAGCCAUGCCGCGUGUGUGAAGAAGGCCUUUUGGUUGUAAAGCACUUUAAGCGAGGAGGAGGCUACUCUAGUUCAUACCUAGAGAUAGUGGACGUUACUCGCAGAAUAAGCCCCUGCACACUCUUUGCCAGCAGCCGCGGUAAUUCAGAGGGUGCAAGCGUUAAUCGGAUUUACUGGGCGUAAAGCGCGCGUAGGUGGCCAAUUAAGUCAAAUGUGAAAUCCCCGAGCUUAACUUGGGAAUUGCAUUCGAUACUGGUUGGCUAGAGUAUGGGAGAGGAUGGUAGAAUUCCAGGUGUAGCGGUGAAAUGCGUAGAGAUCUGGAGGAAUACCGAUGGCGAAGGCAGCCAUCUGGCCUAAUACUGACACUGAGGUGCGAAAGCAUGGGGAGCAAACA